UAGCAAGCCUCCAGCAUGCUUGGGUCUGGAGUGACCCUGUGCACUGCUACAGUGCAGCCAGAGAAGCUUUUCAGAUGUUUUAAAACUUUGUUCUGCCCUCUCCAGAUCAAGAUUAGAAAUUUCAGACAAUA
rnacentral:snoRNA from 1 species